UACAGAGGGUGCGAGCGUUGUUCGGAAUUAUUGGGUGUAAAGCGCAUGUAGGCGGCCUGUUAAGUCGCGUGUGAAAGCUCCCGGCUCAACCGGGAAAGUGCGCGCGAAACUGACAGGCUUGAGUGCUGGAGAGGGUGGCGGAAUUCCCGGUGUAGAGGUGAAAUUCGUAGAUAUCGGGAGGAACACCAGAGGCGAAGGCGGCCACCUGGACAGACACUGACGCUGAGACGCGAAAGCGUGGGGAGCAAACAGG
rnacentral:rRNA from 1 species